UCCCCGGCAGUCCAAUGGUUAGGCCUCUGCACUUUCACUGCAGAGGGCACAGGUUCAAUCCCUGGUCAGGGAA
rnacentral:tRNA from 1 species